AGAGUUUGAUUAUGGCUCAGGACGAACGCUGGCGGCACGCUUAACACAUGCAAGUCGAACGUGAAGCUCCGAGCUUGCUCGGGGUGGAAAGUGGCGAACGGGUGAGUAACACGUGAGAAACCUGCCCCGAAGACCGGGAUAACGCCGGGAAACCGGUGCUAAUACCGGAUGUCCUCACCGGACCGCAUGAUCCGGCGAGGAAAUGGAUUCCGCUUCGGGAUGGUCUCGCGGCCUAUCAGCUUGUUGGUGGGGUAAUGGCCCACCAAGGCAUCGACGGGUAGCUGGUCUGAGAGGAUGAUCAGCCACACUGGGACUGAGACACGGCCCAGACUCCUACGGGAGGCAGCAGUGGGGAAUCUUGCACAAUGGGCGAAAGCCUGAUGCAGCAACGCCGCGUGCGGGAUGAAGGCCCUAGGGUUGUAAACCGCUUUCAGCAGGGAAGAAGAUGACGGUACCUGUAGAAGAAGGUGCGGCCAACUACGUGUCAGCCGCCGCGGUAA
rnacentral:rRNA from 1 species